GAUGAACGCUGGCGGCGUGCUUAACACAUGCAAGUCGAACGAUGAAGCCCAGCUUGCUGGGUGGAUUAGUGGCGAACGGGUGAGUAACACGUGAGUAACCUGCCCUUAACUCUGGGAUAAGCCUGGGAAACUGGGUCUAAUACCGGAUAGGAGCGCCUACCGCAUGGUGGGUGUUGGAAAGAUUUAUCGGUUUUGGAUGGACUCGCGGCCUAUCAGCUUGUUGGUGAGGUAAUGGCUCACCAAGGCGACGACGGGUAGCCGGCCUGAGAGGGUGACCGGCCACACUGGGACUGAGACACGGCCCAGAUUCCUACGGGAGGCAGCAGUGGGGAAUAUUGCACAAUGGGCGAAAGCCUGAUGCAGCGACGCCGCGUGAGGGAUGACGGCCUUCGGGUUGUAAACCUCUUUCAGUAGGGAAGAAGCGAAAGUGACGGUACCUGCAGAAGAAGCACCGGCUAACUACGUG
rnacentral:rRNA from 1 species